CAUGCAGUCGAGGGGUAACAUUGGUGCUUGCACCAGAUGACGACCGGCUCCACGGGUGCGUAACGCGUAUACAAUCUGCCUUGUACUGGGGGAUAGCCUUUAGAAAUGAAGAUUAAGACCCCAUAGUAUUAUAGAUUCGCAUGAUGAAAUAAUUAAAGGUUACGGUACAAGAUGAGUAUGCGUCCUAUUAGCUAGAUGGAGUGGUAACGGCACCCCAUGGCGACGAUAGGUAGGGGCCCUGAGAGGGGGAUCCCCCACACUGGUACUGAGACACGGACCAGACUCCUACGGGAGGCAGCAGUGAGGAAUAUUGGACAAUGGGGGCAACCCUGAUCCAGCCAUGCCGCGUGCAGGAAGACUGCCCUAUGGGUUGUAAACUGCUUUUAUACGGGAAGAAACACCGCUACGUGUAGCGGCUUGACGGUACCGUAAGAAUAAGGAUCGGCUAACUCCGUGCCAGCAGCCGCGGUAAUACGGAGGAUCCAAGCGUUAUCCGGAAUCAUUGGGUUUAAAGGGUCCGUAGGUGGGCUGGUCAGUCAGAGGUGAAAUCCCACGGCUCAACCGUGGAACUGCCUUUGAUACUGCUAGUCUUGAGUUAUUAUGAAGUAGUUAGAAUAUGUAGUGUAGCGGUGAAAUGCAUAGAUAUUACAUAGAAUACCAAUUGCGAAGGCAGAUUACUAAUAAUAUACUGACACUGAUGGACGAAAGCGUAGGUAGCGAACGGGAUUAGAUACCCCGGUAGUCUACGCCGUAAACGAUGGAUACUAGCUGUCCGGCUUCGGCUGGGUGGCUAAGCGAAAGUGAUAAGUAUCCCACCUGGGGAGUACGUUCGCAA
rnacentral:rRNA from 1 species